rnacentral:lncRNA from 1 species
AUGCGCCACCACGCUUGGCCCAAAAUGGGCUAUUCUUUACUGUUGCUUCUGUUAACCAUCAGAAGAGUCACUGGUCUAGGAGUCAGUUUUUAUAUUACUAUCGAGACUUGGAAGGCUCAGGUGCCACCAGGCAGGAAGUGUAAGUUUGGAGCCCCAUCCCCUAAUGACUCCCAUGGCCUCCAGGAAGCGAUACCUCAGACGAAGGGCAGCUCUAGGACACCUGAACACUGUCUUACUGGUGGCCAGGCCCCUGCUCCAAAGACGGCUGAAGCUACAGCUUAGGCAUUCGGGUGGCUCUCACAGCUUGGAGGCCUGGGAAAAAGUGCCAAGCAUGGUAGGUGUUCUGGAAGCAGGGGGUCUUGUGCAGGGUGUGAACCCCUGAGCUUGGCACAGCUUAGGGGAGGGUGGAGCUCACAAGGUGCCAUCGGGGUC